rnacentral:lncRNA from 1 species
UAACUACCAAGUCUCCAAUUAAAAAAUAUCUAGUUCAAUUCUAAUAAGUUUAGCUAUCAAGUCUCCUAAUCUUAUUGGUGGAAAUCCAAUCCAGCAUUUCUCCUUCUUGCAUCAACGUCGCUAGCAUGCAUGCAUGCAUCAUGUAUACUGGUGUGGAACAAAGCAAAAGUUUUUGAUUAGAUAACGAGAAAGAGGAUUUAUUGUUGCAUUAAUUCGUAAAGGCACAUUAACUAUCUUCAUCUUAUAGAGCAAAGAAAACGAGUUGCAUUUUUGGUGUUUGGAUGCAUAACUUCAUAGAGGGUUGUUCUUAACAGGGUGGGAAUGAUGCUGAAAAUUUAUGCUUUUAGAACCUCCUCCAAAUUUAGGAUGCAAAUCUUCAUUCCUCCUUGUCCUUAAAACAUCUGUUUUGUUUUUGCCAGCCUUAAAAAUAAGUAUUAUGUUUGCCCUUGACUAACCAUGUCAACAUAUUUAAGACAUCUAAUUAAUUAUUUUAAAAAGCAUUUUAUGCAGGAAAAAAUUUAGAUUAGGACCCUUGAUUGAGAAAUCUGACUGCUCCAACCAAGUGUGUUACAUUAAUGAUGCCGUAAAGAAGAGUUGUCUAAAGAAGAAUAAAAAUAAUAUUUUAAUGCCUCCAAAUGGUUGAGUCAAAUAUAUUUCAUUCUUUUUCUUGUAAAAGAUGGGGACGGCGCCUCAUAGAAUUUUAUUAAUGCAUCUCAAAUAAGUACAUUUCCGAGUAUAUGAUAAAUUGGGAGGUAAAUGAGUUACGUCAUAAGAGAAUUUGAGAAGCCCUCAGCACCUUUCCCUGCCGACCAGUAGUCAUCAGGUCAGAUUUCCUCCUCAGUAAAUGUGAGAAAUGUGAUCACAAUGAGCAGGAAUUAAUCCAUGAAUCUUCACACAUCUUGCAAUAGAGGAUGAGUAGACUGUUACUCCAACUUGAAGUCUUUAAUCCAAGAUAUGAUAUUUCGAUAGAUGAUGUAUUGUGAUAUUCUUUCAGAGCAUUCAAUCCCUCCCAAAGAGCUCAGAGUUCAGCUUGUGGGACUGCACAGAGAGGUAUUCAAUAAAAACAUGCCCUUCAUGGUCUCAAAACUUGGAAUUAGUGACUGCCCCAUCGAAGUUAACUGCACCAAUGAGAGUGGGUACUCACAGAUUAAAAGAAUGCACAGGUGGUCUUUUGAGAGACUUCAUCAGGCGAUGUUAGCUUUCCUUCAAACAAUCUUUCAUACUUUCUGCUCCAAAUAAGGAUACCAGCAUUACCUAAAGCUCUGUGCUAAAGAUGGUGAUAGUUCAUCAAAAGAUUGUGUUGAGAGUGGGAUGUGCAGUUGCACUACAAGCGAUCUACCGAACAACUUCACCAGCACAGCAAUUGAACAAGAAAAGGGAAGCAAAACCAGCUUCCCAUCUGAAUUCUGUUUUCAAAUUUCAGCUGGCUCUACGGGUUGCUCUUUUAAACAAUUUUAUUCACACACACACACACACACACACACACACACACACACA